rnacentral:miRNA from 1 species
GGUACCCUCAUGGGUGUGAAUUA